CUCAUCUCUCUGCCUGUCUCUCUGUCUCUGUGCCUGUCCCUUCAUCUCUCUUGACCUCAGUCUGCCUGCCUGUCUGGCUGCCUGUCCGUCUCUGGUCAUCUGUUCAUCUGUCUUCCAGGCUCUCAGGGCUGUACAGCCUACGAUGUCGUCAUCAACAAUGAGUUCUUUCAGAAAACCCAGAAGGACGCCCUUUUCCUGCAGUUCAUGAUCGCGAUUGCCUUCGAGGGACUG